rnacentral:rRNA from 1 species
GUACCUACGGGAGGCAGCAGUGGGGAAUAUUGGGCAAUGGGCGCAAGCCUGACCCAGCAACGCCGCGUGAAGGGAGAAGGCUUUCGGGUUGUAAACUUCUUUUAUGAGGGACGAAAGAAAUGACGGUACCUCAUGAAUAAGCCACGACUAACUACGUGCCAGCAGCCGCGGUAAUACGUAGGUGGCAAGCGUUAUCCGGAUUUACUGGGUGUAAAGGGCGUGUAGGCGGAACUUCACGUCAGAUGAGAAAAU